UUCUUAUGCAACGCCGUUUUGGAAAUUAGAGUUCAUAACUUCUUUCUUCUCCGCCAUUAGAGAGAUCGAGAUGGGGUUUCGAUUUUGACGUUUGAUCUUCGUUUUCAUCAACAGAAACGCUCCCAUUACAGAUUCAUCCAGUUAAUCCUCUUAUUAAAUCCAUCAACCAUGAUAUAGCCUUCAAUGCAAGUUUCUUUUGUGCGGAUGUAUCUGAGAGUAUAUAAAGAAGUCUGCCAGGUGAUCCGACACUGUUGAGAUCAGACGCUGCGUUUCUGGGAGGCCAGGAAUGUCAGGGGCGGUGGAGAACUCAUUUGGUUGAUAUGCUCAUGGUGAAUGUAAAUGCAAACAUUAUGCAGGCCACCAUUAAAUAUAACCGAUGACCUGCUCUCAGCAUUCAACAUGCAUAUUCUGUUUCGGUUAUUAGAGAUGUUUUCAUAUUCACUUUUUUUUUGGGUUUUCACUCCUUUUGUUUAUGUAUUGCAGUCAACCUUCAUAAAAGUCACUGUGUACAAGCAUCUUAUCAAGGCGGGUUCAAUUUAUUCCAUAAGUGGUUUUGAUGUGACACAGAGCAAUCUGAACUUAAAGUUGUCCGACUCUCCUCUAUCGAUUUGAUUCCGCUGUCGAAUUGCGUCUCCACCGUCGAAAUAAAAUGGACAGAUUGCACGAAAGAUAUGUUUCUUCAAAGACCAAAUGUCAUAAGUUGGAGUUUCUCCCAAAGAGUCCAUAGAAAAAUAAGUUUAUAUGGAUUUGGAUGAUGUUGAGGUCAAGCGUGGGGAGCCAGAAGCUGAACUUUACGUAAUCAAGGCUAUUAACAAAAAGCUGCAACGCUCUUACAAUUAACUUGUGGAGUUUAGGUCUCCUAGCAACUGUUCUUAUACAGGUGAAUCUGCAUUGGUUUAGGUCUCAGUCUUUAUUUCAGCUCUCACAAUGAGCGUAGAGAGAGUACUAAUCAUAUUCACAACACUGCAAUAGCUAUCAACAGUAGCAUCCUUAGUGUCUUACAUGGUAACUCUUGCAAAGGUUUAUUGUUACGUUCAAGACCAAUGUUACCGCUGAGAGAGCAGAGGCUUUGCUCUAUUGUCAUUGUUAUAUCUAUAUUGAAGAUUCUGAAAAUAAGGAUGUUAUAAAAGCUAUGAUGGAGAGCUGUUCAAGAGUACUUCAAGGUUUAGCUUUAAACACUGUUGCGUGAAAUGAUGCUGUUAUCUUUGUAGACAAAAGUAUGAGACGUACUGAAUGACUUCUUAUAGGUUUUACACGUAGUGAAGGACUUCUUAUAGGUUUUACAGUUUACUUCUAUGUUUGUCCUUUUCCUUCUGUUCUCUUAUAUCUCAUGUAAAUUUAAGUCAGAUAAAAAUCAAUGUAAAAUCUAGAAAUAAUUUAUUUUCUUUCUUUUUCCUCAA